rnacentral:rRNA from 1 species
AGCCACUGCUAUCGGGCUCCGACUAAGCCAUGCGAGUUAAGGGGUUCCUUCGGGAGCACCGGCGGACGGCUCAGUAACACGUGGACAACCUAACCUCGGGUGGGGGAUAACCUCGGGAAACUGAGGCUAAUACCCCAUAGGUCUCGGGUACUGGAAGGUCCUGAGGCCGAAAGCUUCGGCGCCCGAGGAUGGGUCUGCGGCCUAUCAGGUAGUUGGUGGUGUAAAGGACCACCAAGCCGAAGAUCGGUACGGGCCAUGAGAGUGGGAGCCCGGAGAUGGACACUGAGACACGGGUCCAGGCCCUACGGGGCGCAGCAGGCGCGAAACCUCCGCAAUGCGGGCAACCGCGACGGGGGGACCCCCAGUGCCGUGGCAUCGCCACGGCUUUUCCGGAGUGUACAGAGCUCCGGGAAUAAGGGCUGGGCAAGGCCGGUGGCAGCCGCCGCGGUAAUACCGGCGGCCCGAGUGGUGGCCGCUAUUAUUGGGCCUAAAGCGUCCGUAGCCGGGCCUGUAAGUCCCUGGCGAAAUCCCACGGCUCAACCGUGGGGCUUGCUGGGGAUACUGCAGGCCUUGGGACCGGGAGAGGCGGAGGGUACUCCUGGGGUAGGGGUGAAAUCCUAUAAUCCCAGGAGGACCGCCAGUGGCGAAGGCGCUCCGCUGGAACGGGUCCGACGGUGAGGGACGAAGGCCAGGGGAGCGAACCGGAUUAGAUACCCGGGUAGUCCUGGCUGUAAAGGAUGCGGGCUAGGUGUCGGGUGAGCUUCGUGCUCGCCCGGUGCCGAAGGGAAGCCGUUAAGCCCGCCGCCUGGGGAGUACGGCCGCAAGGCUGAAACUUAAAGGAAUUGGCGGGGGAGCACUACAAGGGGUGGAGCGUGCGGUUU